rnacentral:rRNA from 1 species
UACGAAGGGGCUAGCGUUGCUCGGAAUGACUGGGCGUAAAGGGCGCGUAGGCGGUUUGUACAGUCAGGUGUGAAAUUCCCGGGCUCAACCUGGGGGCUGCACUUGAUACGUAUGGACUGGAGUGGGGAAGAGGGUCGUGGAAUUCCCAGUGUAGAGGUGAAAUUCGUAGAUAGUUGGGAAGAACACCGGGUGGCGAAGGCGGCGACCUGGUCCUUGACUGACGCUGAGGCGCGAAGCGUGGGGAGCAAACAGG